AUUGAACGCUGGCGGCAGGCCUAACACAUGCAAGUCGAACGGUAACAGGAAGCAGCUUGCUGCUUUGCUGACGAGUGGCGGACGGGUGAGUAAUGUCUGGGAAACUGCCUGAUGGAGGGGGAUAACUACUGGAAACGGUAGCUAAUACCGCAUAAUGUCGCAAGACCAAAGAGGGGGACCUUCGGGCCUCUUGCCAUCGGAUGUGCCCAGAUGGGAUUAGCUAGUAGGUGGGGUAACGGCUCACCUAGGCGACGAUCCCUAGCUGGUCUGAGAGGAUGACCAGCCACACUGGAACUGAGACACGGUCCAGACUCCUACGGGAGGCAGCAGUGGGGAAUAUUGCACAAUGGGCGCAAGCCUGAUGCAGCCAUGCCGCGUGUAUGAAGAAGGCCUUCGGGUUGUAAAGUACUUUCAGCGGGGAGGAAGGCGAUAAGGUUAAUAACCUUGUCGAUUGACGUUACCCGCAGAAGAAGCACCGGCUAACUCCGUGCCAGCAGCCGCGGUAAUACGGAGGGUGCAAGCGUUAAUCGGAAUUACUGGGCGUAAAGCGCACGCAGGCGGUCUGUCAAGUCGGAUGUGAAAUCCCCGGGCUCAACCUGGGAACUGCAUUCGAAACUGGCAGGCUAGAGUCCUGUAGAGGGGGGUAGAAUUCCAGGUGUAGCGGUGAAAUGCGUAGAGAUCUGGAGGAAUACCGGUGGCGAAGGCGGCCCCCUGGACAAAGACUGACGCUCAGGUGCGAAAGCGUGGGGAGCAAACAGGAUUAGAUGCCCUGGUAGUCCACGCCGUAAACGAUGUCGACUUGGAGGUUGUGCCCUUGAGGCGUGGCUUCCGGAGCUAACGCGUUAAGUCGACCGCCUGGGGAGUACGGCCGCAAGGUUAAAACUCAAAUGAAUUGACGGGGGCCCGCACAAGCGGUGGAGCAUGUGGUUUAAUUCGAUGCAACGCGAAGAACCUUACCUACUCUUGACAUCCAGAGAACUUUCCAGAGAUGGAUUGGUGCCUUCGGGAACUCUGAGACAGGUGCUGCAUGGCUGUCGUCAGCUCGUGUUGUGAAAUGUUGGGUUAAGUCCCGCAACGAGCGCAACCCUUAUCCUUUGUUGCCAGCGGUUAGGCCGGGAACUCAAAGGAGACUGCCAGUGAUAAACCGGAGGAAGGUGGGGAUGACGUCAAGUCAUCAUGGCCCUUACGAGUAGGGCUACACACGUGCUACAAUGGCGCAUACAAAGAGAAGCGACCUCGCGAGAGCAAGCGGACCUCAUAAAGUGCGUCGUAGUCCGGAUUGGAGUCUGCAACUCGACUCCAUGAAGUCGGAAUCGCUAGUAAUCGUGGAUCAGAAUGCCACGGUGAAUACGUUCCCGGGCCU
rnacentral:rRNA from 1 species